rnacentral:rRNA from 1 species
AUUGAACGCUGGCGGCAUGCCUUACACAUGCAAGUCGAACGGUAACAGGUCUUCGGAUGCUGACGAGUGGCGAACGGGUGAGUAAUACAUCGGAACGUGCCCGAUCGUGGGGGAUAACGCAGCGAAAGCUGUGCUAAUACCGCAUACGAUCUACGGAUGAAAGCGGGGGAUCGCAAGACCUCGCGCGGACGGAGCGGCCGAUGGCAGAUUAGGUAGUUGGUGGGGUAAAGGCUCACCAAGCCUGCGAUCUGUAGCUGGUCUGAGAGGACGACCAGCCACACUGGGACUGAGACACGGCCCAGACGCCUACGGGAGGCAGCAGUGGGGAAUUUUGGACAAUGGGCGAAAGCCUGAUCCAGCCAUGCCGCGUGCAGGAUGAAGGCCUUCGGGUUGUAAACUGCUUUUGUACGGAACGAAAAGUCCCCUUCUAAUAAAGGGGGAUCAUGACGGUACCGUAAGAAUAAGCACCGGCUAACUACGUGCCAGCCGCCGCAGUAA